rfam:Bacillus sp. WF146 contig079, whole genome shotgun sequence.
GAACGCCGUGUGCGGUGAAAGCCGCAUGCACGGUGUGACGUGGGGGAAAAGGGGAUCCGCACGAUGCGCACCCCGCGCAGGCGAGGACGCACCCUUACCUAUCACGGU